AACCAGACGUUUUUAGUCACAAUGGAUGCA
rnacentral:piRNA from 1 species